GUCUAAUUAGCUCAGUGGUUAGAGCAAAAGACUGAAAAUCUUUAAGUCAGAGAUUCAAAUUCUCUAUUAGACA
rnacentral:tRNA from 1 species